rnacentral:miRNA from 1 species
AAAGUGCAACUUUGAUAGUGUG